rnacentral:lncRNA from 1 species
AAAAAAUAUUAAAUUAAAUAAAAAAUAGCUACAAAAAAUAAAAACGUUAAUUUUAACGACGCUAACGCUUCCAGCUAAACCCUAAACCCUAAAUCUUAAAUUCUAAACCCUAAACCCUAAAUUCUAAACCCAAAUCCAACCCCUAAACCCAAACCCUAUACCCUAAACUCUAAUCCUAAACCCUAAACCCAAAAACUAGACUAUAAACC